CUGUACUUGGUGUUACUGCGAAGGGGGGACGGAGAAGGCUAUGUUGGCCGGGCGACGGUUGUCCCGGUUUAAGCGUGUAGGCUGGUUUUCCAGGCAAAUCCGGAAAAUCAAGGCUGAGGCGUGAUGACGAGGCACUACGGUGCUGAAGCAACAAAUGCCCUGCUUCCAGGAAAAGCCUCUAAGCAUCAGGUAACAUCAAAUCGUACCCCAAACCGACACAGGUGGUCAGG
rnacentral:rRNA from 1 species